rnacentral:rRNA from 1 species
GACGAACGUUGGCGGCGUGCUUAACACAUGCAAGUCGAACGGAAAGGCCCUGCUUUUGUGGGGUGCUCGAGUGGCGAACGGGUGAGUAACACGUGAGUAACCUGCCCUUGACUUUGGGAUAACUUCAGGAAACUGGGGCUAAUACCGGAUAGGAGCUCCUGCUGCAUGGUGGGGGUUGGAAAGUUUCGGCGGUUGGGGAUGGACUCGCGGCUUAUCAGCUUGUUGGUGGGGUAGUGGCUUACCAAGGCUUUGACGGGUAGCCGGCCUGAGAGGGUGACCGGCCACAUUGGGACUGAGAUACGGCCCAGACUCCUACGGGAGGCAGCAGUGGGGAAUAUUGCACAAUGGGCGGAAGCCUGAUGCAGCAACGCCGCGUGCGGGAUGACGGCCUUCGGGUUGUAAACCGCUUUCGCCUGUGACGAAGCGUGAGUGACGGUAAUGGGUAAAGAAGCACCGGCUAACUACGUGCCAGCAGCCGCGGUGAUACGUAGGGUGCGAGCGUUGUCCGGAUUUAUUGGGCGUAAAGGGCUCGUAGGUGGUUGAUCGCGUCGGAAGUGUAAUCUUGGGGCUUAACCCUGAGCGUGCUUUCGAUACGGGUUGACUUGAGGAAGGUAGGGGAGAAUGGAAUUCCUGGUGGAGCGGUGGAAUGCGCAGAUAUCAGGAGGAACACCAGUGGCGAAGGCGGUUCUCUGGGCCUUUCCUGACGCUGAGGAGCGAAAGCGUGGGGAGCGAACAGGCUUAGAUACCCUGGUAGUCCACCCUGUAAACGGUGGGUACUAGGUGUGGGGUCCAUUCCACGGGUUCCGUGCCGUAGCUAACGCUUUAAGUACCCCGCCUGGGGAGUACGGCCGCAAGGCUAAAACUCAAAGGAAUUGACGGGGCCCCGCACAAGCGGCGGAGCAUGCGGAUUAAUUCGAUGCAACGCGUAGAACCUUACCUGGGUUUGACAUGGAUCGGGAGUGCUCAGAGAUGGGUGUGCCUCUUUUGGGGUCGGUUCACAGGUGGUGCAUGGCUGUCGUCAGCUCGUGUCGUGAGAUGUUGGGUUAAGUCCCGCAACGAGCGCAACCCUUGUUCACUGUUGCCAGCACGUUAUGGUGGGGACUCAGUGGAGACCGCCGGGGUCAACUCGGAGGAAGGUGGGGAUGACGUCAAGUCAUCAUGCCCCUUAUGUCCAGGGCUUCACGCAUGCUACAAUGGCUGGUACAGAGAGUGGCGAGCCUGUGAGGGUGAGCGAAUCUCGGAAAGCCGGUCUCAGUUCGGAUUGGGGUCUGCAACUCGACCUCAUGAAGUCGGAGUCGCUAGUAAUCGCAGAUCAGCAACGCUGCGGUGAAUACGUUCCCGGGGCU